GACCGCUUAGCUCAGCUGGCAGAGCGUUGCGUUUACAUCGCAAAUGUCGCAGGUUCGAACCCUGCAGCGGUCA
rnacentral:tRNA from 1 species